rnacentral:rRNA from 1 species
AGAGUUUGAUCCUGGCUCAGAUUGAACGCUAGCGGGAUGCCUUACACAUGCAAGUCGAACGGCAGCACGGACUUCGGUCUGGUGGCGAGUGGCGAACGGGUGAGUAAUGUAUCGGAACGUGCCCAGUAGCGGGGGAUAACUACGCGAAAGCGUGGCUAAUACCGCAUACGCCCUACGGGGGAAAGCAGGGGAUCGUAAGACCUUGCACUAUUGGAGCGGCCGAUAUCGGAUUAGCUAGUUGGUGGGGUAACGGCUCACCAAGGCGACGAUCCGUAGCUGGUUUGAGAGGACGACCAGCCACACUGGGACUGAGACACGGCCCAGACUCCUACGGGAGGCAGCAGUGGGGAAUUUUGGACAAUGGGGGAAACCCUGAUCCAGCCAUCCCGCGUGUGCGAUGAAGGCCUUCGGGUUGUAAAGCACUUUUGGCAGGAAAGAAA